AAAACUUUACAAUGCGGGCAACCGUGAUAAGGAAACCCCGAGUGCCAUCACAGGCUGGCUGUCCGCCAUUAUAAAACACUGGGUGAAUAAAUGGCCGGGCAAUACCGGUGCCAGCCGCCGCGGUAAUACCGGCGGCUCGAGUGGUGGCCGCUUUUACUGGGGCUUAAAGGGUCCGUAGCUUGAUUCAUGGGUCCCUUGAGAAAUCCAUCGGCUUAACUGAUGGGCGUUCAGGGGAAACUGUGGUUCUAGGGACCGGGAGAGGUGAGAGGUACUGCCGGGGUAGGAGUGAAAUCCUGUAAUCCCGGUGGGACGACCUAUGGCGAAGGCAUCUCACCAGAACGGCUCCGACAGUGAGGGACGAAAGCUGGGGGAGCAAACCGGAUUAGAUACCCGGGUAGUCCCAGCUGUAAACGAUGCGCGUUAGGUGUGUCAGUGACCACGAGUUACUGAGAUGCCGAAGGGAAACCGUGAAACGCGCCCGCCUGGGGAGUACGGUCGCAAGGCUGAAACUUAAAGGAAUUGGCGGGGGAGCACCACAACGGGUGGAGCUGCGGUUUAAUCGGACUCAACGCCGGAAAUCUCACCGGAUAAGACAGCUGAAUGAUAGUCGGGAUGAAGACUCAUGCUAUGACAUAGCUGAGAGGAGGUGCAUGGCCGUCGUCAGUUCGUACUGUGAAGCAUCCUGUUUAGUCAGGCAACGAGCGAGACCCACGCCAACAAUUGCCAGCAUAACUUCGGGUUGAUGGGGACAUCGAUAUGGGACCGCCUCUGCUAAAGGGGAGGAAGGAAUGGGCAACGGUAGGUCAGCAUGCCCCGAAUUAUCCGGGCUACACGCGGGCUACAAUGGUUGGGACAAUGGGUUCCGACACCGAAAGGUGAAGGCAAUCUCCUAAACCCAUCCGAAGUUCGGAUUGCGGGUUGUAACUCACCCGCAUGAAGCUGGAAUCCGUGGUAAUCGCGUUUCACCAUAACGCGGUGAAUAUGUCCCUGCUCC
rnacentral:rRNA from 1 species